rnacentral:lncRNA from 1 species
CUGUAGGCCAGAUGUGGGAAACGCAAAAACAGCAAACAGCCUAAGCCAUGCUCGUUCCUUUCUCUCCUAGAGGCGUGAAAUAAAAUAUUUUGAAAUUGGUCCUUGGAGCACCUCAAAUCGCGUCUCUCCAACUAUUCCAAUUACCGAUCACUUUUCCACAAAACAUUGUGAGGACCAUUUUCAGAAGAUCGAAACUUGCUAGCAUGUUAUCACUGUAAGAAACGACAUCAUUAAUUUUCCUCUGUGGUAAAACUAGACCGAGCCUUGAGUGUACGAAUCCAUAUUUACAGUUGGGAGGCAGCUACUCUCGUCGACACGGGUUGUUUUCCUAGCCUGCUGCCAACAUCGGAGGGACUCUCAUUUUGAACUUGUCUGUGCACAGCAUCAAGUGUGCUCCUGGAAGAGAGGCAACAGCGAGGAAAUCCUAAAAGACCGAGUCCUAGUCUCAGAAGAAAUCGCCUGCAAGGUUGAGAGACAGAAAGAAAAUCCCUGGAGACUCCACGUCUAACCCAGGCUAAAGGCAAAGCUCUACAGCGGUGUGUAGGAUAUCUCUCUCGUUCGCUACAGCCCUUGCCACCGAAGUACCAGACGCUUUUAGUGUGUGAAAGACCAGGCGUUGAUUUAAUGUAUCUGGAAGGGAGAGGGGAUAGAGGAUGCAACUUAAUAAAUAUUCCUCUAGUCUCGCUCAUGAAAACAUCCAAAACAUCUUUCGGCGUUUGCAUUUAAUGACUGCAACGUGAACGAUGGAGGCGAGAAGCAGUCGAGGGAAUGGCUCGUUUCUCUUAGUGUUGGCUCGGAAUUGUCAAACAGUUACUUUCUGUUCAUUGUAGGGAAAUAGGUCACACUUUGAGUGAAAAGGACAGUUGGUUCAAGCCAAUAACCCUUUGUUCAAGUGCUGUUUGACAGUCCCUGAGCAGAACAUCGUUGCGUGAAGUUUCAUCUCCUGUCCAGUACCUUUAGAUACAUUAUUAAAUCCCAAAGUCAUAUUCCACGGAGCGCCUGGAAGGAAUAUUUCGUCGAAACGCGUCUUGCCAACCAACGUGUUAGCACCCGUAAGGAAGCCUGCUGGACUGGCCCGAGAACCCGGCCGCCAGGAUGGACACGAAUCCCUCAUUAGCAGUUCCAACUUGAAAAGUCAACUGGGCUGGUCCAACACCACCAUCCAGGAGAUUCCCAAAGGCUCAAAAGGCAAUCUGUGCACCCACCCCACGGGAACCUUGCCCCUUCCUCUGCGUCUCCCUCCGGUUUUAAAUUGGGAUGAUUGCUAGUUCGCUUUCGGAUUUUUUCUCCCAGACAUUCGGGGGCUGCUUUUGUGGCUCCUUUGUUAACAGGCUGUCGUGCAGCUUUCCCCCCUUUUCUUUCUCCAAUGCCUAUUUGCCUGGUAUCGGCUCGUCUCCGGGGCAACCGCGGGGAAGAUUCGGAGCCCCAGGCGCCGGGAGGGGGAAGGGGCGGAGCCCGGCGGAGUGGGGGCGGGGAGGGGCGCGAGAGGAGGGGCGGAGGGAGUGGGUCAGGAGGAGACCCCAGGACCCACGAGGAGCAGAUGGCCGCUCCGGGGCGGAGCCCGUGAGCGUCAGGGGAGCGGGAGAGCCAAUCCGUCCCUGCAGCAGCGCGGGAGAGAGCCAACGAGAGUAAACACGCGGGCUGUCCCCCCCCCCCCCCCCCCGCGGUCCCUACUUUGCAGCUGAAGACGUGAUUUCCUUUGGAUAAGAAAGCUCAUUGCCAGUGUGGUUGGAAAGCUGGCGGUCCCCGGGAGAAUGGGUUGGGAGGCGGGUUUGGGCGGAGCUCUGAAAUCUCCCUCUCCCUUUCCUCCCCUCCCACCCCGACUCAGGCACCCACUAAGCCUGGCGAGAAUGGAAGAGGCGGGUGGAUGGGAGAGCGGGGCGGGGCUGGGAAAAGGGAAGAGAUUGACUCUUGCUAUGAACCUUAAGGAAUGCCAGCAAGCUAUUGGAGCUGCUGGUCUUUACCUGCUGCAGUUCCCCUACAGUUUGGUGGUCUCCCCGUAGAGUUAAGGGUUUGGGGGGGGGGGGAGGCGGGGAAACACCCGCCAAAUGCAUUUAUAUAAGUGAGAUUAAAGAACCCAUAAGGACAUUAAAAAUUGGAAGCAGGCGCCUAUAGCCAACUC